UACAGAGGGUGCAAGCGUUAAUCGGAAUUACUGGGCGUAAAGAGCGCGCAGGCGGCUGGUCAAGUCCGAUGUGAAAUCUCCCGGCUCAACUGGGAAACUGCAUCGGAAACUGAUCGGCUUGAAGAUGGGAGAGGGUAGUGGAAUUCCCGGUGUAGUGGUGAAAUGCGUAGAUAUCGGGAGGAACACCAGUGGCGAAGGCGACUACCUGGCCCAUUCUUGACGCUGAGGCGCGAAAGCUAGGGGAGCGAACGGG
rnacentral:rRNA from 1 species